GAUGAACGCUGGCGGCGUGCCUAAUACAUGCAAGUCGAGCGAACAGACGAGGAGCUUGCUCCUCUGACGUUAGCGGCGGACGGGUGAGUAACACGUGGAUAACCUACCUAUAAGACUGGGAUAACUUCGGGAAACCGGAGCUAAUACCGGAUAAUAUAUUGAACCGCAUGGUUCAAUAGUGAAAGACGGUUUUGCUGUCACUUAUAGAUGGAUCCGCGCCGCAUUAGCUAGUUGGUAAGGUAACGGCUUACCAAGGCAACGAUGCGUAGCCGACCUGAGAGGGUGUUCGGCCACCCUGGAACUGAGACACGGUCCAGACUCCUACGGGAGGCAGCAGUAGGGAAUCUUCCGCAAUGGGCGAAAGCCUGACGGAGCAACGCCGCGUGAGUGAUGAAGGUCUUCGGAUCGUAAAACUCUGUUAUUAGGGAAGAACAAAUGUGUAAGUACCUAUGCACGUCUUGACGGUACCUAAUCAGAAAGCCACGGCUAACUACGUG
rnacentral:rRNA from 1 species